rnacentral:rRNA from 1 species
CCUACGGGGGACAGCAGUGAGGAAUAUUGGUCAAUGGACGAGAGUCUGAACCAGCCAAGUAGCGUGAAGGAUGACUGCCCUAUGGGUUGUAAACUUCUUUUAUAUGGGAAUAAAACAGGGUAUGCAUACCCUCUUGUAUGUACCAUAUGAAUAAGGAUCGGCUAACUCCGUGCCAGCAGCCGCGGUAAUACGGAGGAUCCGAGCGUUAUCCGGUUUUAUUGGGUGUAAAGGGAGCGUAGGUGGAUUGUUAAGUCAGUUGUGAAAGUUUGCGGCUUAACCGUAAAAUUGCAGUUGAAACUGGCAGUCUUGAGUACAGUAGAGGUGGGCGGAAUUCGUGGUGUAGCGGUGAAAUGCUUAGAUAUCACGAAGAACUCCGAUUGCGAAGGCAGCUCACUGGACUGAAACUGACACUGAUGCUCGAAAGUGUGGGUAGCAAACAGGAUUAGAUACCCUGGUAGUC